AGCGAACGCUGGCGGCAGGCCUAACACAUGCAAGUCGAACGAACCUUUCGGGGUUAGUGGCGGACGGGUGAGUAACACGUGGGAACGUGCCUUUAGGUCCGGAAUAACUCAGGGAAACUUGUGCUAAUACCGAAUGUGCCCUUCGGGGGAAAGAUUUAUCGCCUUUAGAGCGGCCCGCGUCUGAUUAGCUAGUUGGUUGAGGUAAUGGCUCACCAAGGCGACGAUCAGUAGCUGGUCUGAGAGGAUGAUCAGCCACAUUGGGACUGAGACACGGCCCAAACUCCUACGGGAGGCAGCAGUGGGGAAUCUUGCGCAAUGGGCGAAAGCCUGACGCAGCCAUGCCGCGUGAAUGAUGAAGGUCUUAGGAUUGUAAAAUUCUUUCACCGGGGACGAUAAUGACGGUACCCGGAGAAGAAGCCCCGGCUAACUUCGU
rnacentral:rRNA from 1 species